rnacentral:rRNA from 1 species
GCUUACGACCAUACCGGCCUGAGUACGCCUGAUCUCGGAAGCUAAGCAGGGUCGGGCCUGGUUAGUACUUGGAUGGGAGACCGCCUGGGAAUACCAGGUGCUGUAAGCA